rnacentral:rRNA from 1 species
UGAGGAGUGGCUUCCGGAGCUAACGCGUUAAAUCGACCGCUGGGAGUACGGCCGCAAGGUUAAAACUCAAAUGAAUUGACGGGGGCCCGCACAAGCGGUGGAGCAUGUGGUUUAAUUCGAUGCAACGCGAAGAACCUUACCUACUCUUGACAUCCAGAGAAUUUAGCAGAGAUGCUUUAGUGCUUUCGGGAACUCUGAGACAGGUGCUGCAUGGCUGUCGUCAGCUCGUGUUGUGAAAUGUUGGGUUAAGUCCCGCAACGAGCGCAACCCUUAUCCUUUGUUGCCAGCACAUUAUGGUGGGAACUCAAAGGAGACUGCCGGUGAUAAACCGGAGGAAGGUGGGGAUGACGUCAAGUCAUCAUGGCCCUUACGAGUAGGGCUACACACGUGCUACAAUGGCGCAUACAAAGAGAAGCGACCUCGCGAGAGCAAGCGGAACUCAUAAAGUACGUCGUAGUCCGGAUUGGAGUCUGCAACUCGACUCCAUGAAGUCGGAAUCGCUAGUAAUCGUAGAUCAGAAUGCUACGGUGAAUACGUUCCCGGGCCUUGUACACACCGCCCGUCACACCAUGGGAGUGGGUUGCAAAAGAAGUAGGUAGCUUAACCUUCGGGAGGGCGCUUACCACUUUGUGAUUCAUGACUGGGGUGAAGUCGUAACAAGGUAACCA